rnacentral:rRNA from 1 species
CACGUAGGGGCCAAGCGUUGUCCGGAUUUAUUGGGCGUAAAGAGCUCGUAGGCGGUUCGACAAGUCGGGUGUAAAAACUCCGGGCUCAACCCGGAGACGCCACCCGAUACUGUCGUGACUGGAGUCCGGUAGGGGAGUGGGGAAUUCCUGGUGUAGCGGUGAAAUGCGCAGAUAUCAGGAGGAACACCGGUGGCGAAGGCGCCACUCUGGGCCGGUACUGACGCUGAGGAGCGAAAGCGUGGGUAGCAAACAGG